rnacentral:rRNA from 1 species
GACGAACGCUGGCGGCGUGCCUAAUACAUGCAAGUAGGACGCAGUUGCGAACGUGUGAGUAACGCGUAGGUAACUACCUAUUAGAGGGGGCUAACUAUUGGAACCAAUAGCUAAUACCGCCUACUAGUCGAUUUACCUGGGUGGUAGUAGCUAGUAGGUAGGGUAAUGGCCUACCUAGUCAACGAUACAUAGCCGACCUGGUAGGGUGGUCCGCCACCCUGGGACUGAGACACGGCCCAGACUCCGACGGGAGGCCGCAGUAGGGAAUCUUCGGCAAUGGGGGGCAACCUGACCGAGCAACGCCGCGGGAGUGAAGAAGGUUUUCGGGUCGUAAAGCUCUGUUGUUAAGGAAGCGGUACCUAACCAGAAAGGGACGGCUAACUACGUGCCAGCAGCCGCGGUAAUAC